UCAAGCGUGAGUUUUCAAACAGACGUAUGUAACAUCAGCAAGAAUCUGAGAAAAUGGAGUAACAAAUUUCUAUUUGUAUGAAUAAAUGCUAUUUAAAAUUGUUUGCUCUAUGAUCGGGUUUGAUUUUAGCAAGAGUUCAGUGAAAAAAAUAUGUUUUUAUUGUAUGUUUCAACAUACUGUUUUUUUUGUCAUUUUCCUAGCGAAUUUGAUAAAAAAAAUGUUUUACGCCGUUUUGUCGUGUAAUUUUUACAUACACCCUAAUGAUUCGUCGUUGUGGCAGUUCUUUGUUUACAUACGCCCUAUACUAUUCGUCGCUCGAGCUAAUUGUUUUUAUUUUACGUCAAAUCGGAUACACCAGUAUUAAUCAGUUUAUUUCAGAGAGUCGGUUUGAUAACCAUCAAGUUUGGAUGGAAAAGCAUUGAAAGAAUUAGACAACCAGCACUCGUAUUGAAGCACCGAUCGAAUGUUAUUCGGUAGCACAUAAAAAGCAAUGCUUAGCUCUCUCUCGAAUUUCCCGGCGAGAUCUUCUAGUGGACGUAGCGUAGUGUUUAUUAUUCUAGCUGUAUAUUUCUUUCCAUUCUGUAAUGAAAAUCUGGAAGGAUAUUUUCAUCGGAGAUGAGAUACUCUCGAACACAUACAAGCUGAUGCUGGUUGACGAUGUGAUGUACAGAAUUAACGGGAAGCGUGUGUCGCGCACCCUUGGAGGUGUCCAGGUGGAUGGCGCAAAUUCCCCUGCACCGAAAAUUUCACCGAAUCCAGUGUCGACAUCAUGCUGAGUCAUCGCCUGGUAGAGACUGGAUUAGGCGACGAGAAACAGUUCACCCCAUUCCUGAAGGACUACAUGAAGAAAAAUAUUGUAGAAUAAUGUAGCUUUUGUGUAAAAGUUUAUUUUUACAUUUAAAUAAACAUGGAACAAUAAACAAAAAGUAGUGGAAAAAAAAGUAAGCAAA